rnacentral:rRNA from 1 species
ACGAACUUGGAGAUAGCUGGUUCUCUCCGAAAUAGCUUUAGGGCUAGCCUCGGAAAGAGAAUCGUGGAGGUAGAGCACUGUUUGGACUAGGGGCCCGUCACGGGUUACUGAAUUCAGAUAAACUCCGAAUGCCAUAGAUUUAUAUCCGGGAGUCAGACGGUGAGUGAUAAGAUCCAUCGUCGAAAGGGGAACAGCCCAGACCACCAAUUAAGGUCCCUAAGUGUAUCCUAAGUGGAAAAGGCGGUGGAGUUGCAUAGACAGCUAGGAUGUUGGCUCAGAAGCAGCCACCAUUUAAAGAGUGCGUAAUAGCUCACUAGCCGAGUGAUUCUGCGCCGAAAAUGUACCGGGGCUAAGGAUACCACCGAAAUUGUGGAUGCGACCAAUAGGUCGCGUGAUAGGAGAGCGUUCUAAGGGCGGUGAAGCUAGAUCGUAAGGACUAGUGGAGCGCUUAGAAGUGAGAAUGCCGGUAUGAGUAGCGAAAGAUCAGUGAGAAUCUGAUCCACCGAAUGACUAAGGUUUCCUGGGGAAGGCUCGUCCUCCCAGGGUUAGUCGGGACCUAAGUCGAGGCCGCAAGGCGUAGACGAUGGCCAACAGGUUGAUAUUCCUGUACUAGUAAGAUAUGUUUGAGCGAUGGAGGGACGCAGGAGGCUAAGCCGUGCGCACUGUUGGAUAUGUGCGUUCAAGCAGCAAGUCUGGUUGUUAGUAAAAUGCUUUCAACCGGGUAGACAAGCUGUGAUGAGGACCGAAUUUAAGUAGGGAAGUGGCUGAUGUCACACUGCCGAGAAAAGCUUCUAGUGAGUAUCUUACUACCCGUACCGCAAACCGACACAGGUAGUCGAGGAGAGAAUCCUAAGGUGAGCGAGUGAACUCUCGUUAAGGAACUCGGCAAAAUGACCCCGUAACUUCGGGAGAAGGGGUGCUGCACGUAAGUGCAGCCGCAGUGAAGAGGCCCAGGCGACUGUUUAUCAAAAACACAGGUUUCUGCAAAAUCGUAAGAUGACGUAUAGGGGCUGACGCCUGCCCGGUGCUGGAAGGUUAAGUGGAUGAGUUAGCUUCGGCGAAGCCCAGAAAUGAAGCCCCAGUAAACGGCGGCCGUAACUAUAACGGUCCUAAGGUAGCGAAAUUCCUUGUCGGGUAAGUUCCGACCCGCACGAAAGGCGUAACGAUCUGGGCACUGUCUCAACGAGAGACUCGGUGAAAUUAUAGUACCUGUGAAGAUGCAGGUUACCCGCGACAGGACGGAAAGACCCCAUGGAGCUUUACUAUAGCUUGAUAUUGGGUGUUGACACAACUUGUACAGGAUAGGUCGGAGCCGUAGAAACCGGAACGCUAGUUUCGGUGGAGGCGCUGGUGGGAUACGACCCUUGUUGUGUGAACACUCUAACCCGCGCCACUCAGCGUGGCGGGAGACAGUGUCAGGUGGGUAGUUUGACUGGGGCGGUCGCCUCCCAAAAAGUAACGGAGGCGCCCAAAGGUUCCCUCAGAAUGGUUGGAAAUCAUUCGUAGAGUGUAAAGGCACAAGGGAGCUUGACUGCGAGACAGACAGGUCGAGCAGGGACGAAAGUCGGGCUUAGUGAUCCGGCGGUACCGUAUGGAAGGGCCGUCGCUCAACGGAUAAAAGCUACCCUGGGGAUAACAGGCUUAUCUCCCCCAAGAGU